rnacentral:rRNA from 1 species
GUGGGGAAUCUUCCGCAAUGGACGAAAGUCUGACGGAGCAACGCCGCGUGAGUGAAGAAGGUUUUCGGAUCGUAAAGCUCUUUCGUUAGGGACGAACGUGCUCUUUGUGAAUAAUGAGGAGUAAUGACGGUACCUAAAUAAGAAGCCACGGCUAACUACGUGCCAGCAGCCGCGGUAAUACGUAGGUGGCAAGCGUUGUCCGGAAUUAUUGGGCGUAAAGCGCGCGCAGGCGGGAUAUCAAGUCUGUCUUAAAAGUGCGAGGCUCAACCUCGUGAGGGGACAGAAACUGGUAUUCUUGAGUGUCGGAGAGGAAAGUGGAAUUCCAAGUGUAGCGGUGAAAUGCGUAGAGAUUUGGAAGAACACCAGUGGCGAAGGCGACUUUCUGGACGAUGUCUGACGCUGAGGCGCGAAAGUGUGGGGAGCAAACAGGAUUAGAAACCCCUGUAGUCC